CGCCGUGUGAUGAACUUGGAUUAAAUUACUCACGACGGUCGUCUGAGUCGCCUUUUGUGGUUGACCUGAUGCAGUGAUCCAAAUUGUCUGAUGGCA
rnacentral:snoRNA from 1 species